GAACUGAAGAGUUUGAUCCUGGCUCAGAUUGAACGCUGGCGGCAUGCCUUACACAUGCAAGUCGAACGGCAGCGCGGAGAGCUUGCUCUCUGGCGGCGAGUGGCGAACGGGUGAGUAAUACAUCGGAACGUGCCCUGUAGUGGGGGAUAGCUCGGCGAAAGCCGGAUUAAUACCGCAUAAGCUCUACGGAGGAAAGCGGGGGACCGCAAGGCCUCGUGCUAUAGGAGCGGCCGAUGGCAGAUUAGCUAGUUGGUGAGGUAAAGGCUCACCAAGGCGACGAUCUGUAGCUGGUCUGAGAGGACGACCAGCCACACUGGGACUGAGACACGGCCCAGACUCCUACGGGAGGCAGCAGUGGGGAAUUUUGGACAAUGGGCGAAAGCCUGAUCCAGCAAUGCCGCGUGUGUGAAGAAGGCCUUCGGGUUGUAAAGCACUUUUG
rnacentral:rRNA from 1 species